rnacentral:rRNA from 1 species
UCGCCUGUUUAUCAAAAACAUUUCUUUAAGUAAUAUUUUAAAGUAAAACCUGCUCAAUGAAUAAUUUAAAAGCCGCAGUAAUUUAACUGUGCUAAGGUAGCAUAAUCAUUAGCCUCUUAAUUAGAGGCUAGAAUGAAUGGUUCAACAUUUCCUUAACUUUUUUAAAAAUUAAUAUAAAACUUAUAUUAAAUAUAAAAAUAUAUUUAUUUAAAAAUUAGACGACAAGACCCUUUCAAACUUUACUGAAGUUUAGCUGGGGCAGCUAAAUAAUUAUAAUCUUAUUAAUAAAUACAAAAUAGACCCAAUUCAAAAAUUGAGUAUAUGAACAAGUUACUGAAGGGAUAACAGCAUAAUAAAUUUAUAUAGCUCUUAUUAAAAAAUUAGUUUAUGACCUCGAUGUUGAAUUAUUUUACUUCCCUACGCAAGAGUAAGGAAAGGAGGUCUGUUCGACCU